UACGUAGGGGGCGAGCGUUGUCCGGAUUUAUUGGGCGUAAAGAGCGUGUAGGCGGCCAGGUAGGUCUGCUGUGAAAACUCGAGGCUCAACCUCGAGACGUCGGCGGAAACCAUCUGGCUAGAGUCCGGAAGAGGAGAGUGGAAUUCCUGGUGUAGCGGUGAAAUGCGCAGAUAUCAGGAAGAACACCCGUGGCGAAGGCGGCUCUCUGGGACGGUACUGACGCUCAGGCGCGAAAGCUAGGGGAGCAAACAGG
rnacentral:rRNA from 1 species